rnacentral:ribozyme from 1 species
GCCUCAGCAACUCCUAUCCCUACCUCCACGCGGUACCGGCCGGAAACUAUGAGCAACCUUAGGGAAGAUCGGGUAACCAACCCCGGUGGGACCUUUGGUCGUAGGCUGACAGGGAAGG